UAUAAUGCCAUAUAUCUUAAAGAGCGUUCCAACUAUCUUUCUUCGGACCGCCGACCGCCGGACCGGCCGAAACAUCUCCUUGCUCCACCAUCUUCUUCAUCCAAAUUUUAUAGCAACUUGUACUUUUCGUGCUGUUCGGUUGUGGAAUGCUUUGCCAUUAGACAUUAAACGUGCUAAAUCCCUUCCCAUUUUCAAAAAUCCUUUGAAAUCUCAUUACAUUUCGCUGCCUUAACUUGCCUUUUUUAUGAUUGUAUAAUAUAUGUAUGUAUGUAGAUAUAUAUGUAUUUAUUAUAUUAGUAUGUAGGUAUAUAUUUAUUACAUUGCUUGCGUCUUCAUUUUGUUGAAUUAUGUGUAUAUCGGCACUACCCGUUCAAUGUUAGAGUUCAUAAUUUCCUGCUACCCAAAGGUUGUCUGGAAGAGAUCGCUUCUUAGUGAUGAGACCGCCUGUUGUUACCUAGCUUAUUUUAUUAAAAGCUUUGUAUUACAUUUUAUCAGUCAAAACCUUUGUGACAGAACCUAUGACCUGACUCUACGCCAAGGCCUGUCGACUUCCUUAGAAAGAUAUGACGCUUCAUAAUUGCGCAUGUGUGGUCUGACGCUCUGGAAAUAGAUACCAGUUAUUAAUAUAAAAAUAUUUUGCUACAGCUACAUUGCUCCUAUCUGACUUUGUCUAUUCAACUUUGGGGACAAAUAAAAUCAUUUUUAUCAAAUAUUUUGGUUUAUGUCACACUAUUUCAGUUUGUCUUUGUCUAUGUUCAUAAAAUCUAUGGAGGUCAGAGGCACAUAUACCCUCCAUAAAGCCUUGCACUUGGGUCUGGCCGGUUAGAACAUAGACAAAAGUCUGCAAUGUCAAUGCUGUCAAAGUCAUUGACGCAAAACUAUUUUCAUUUUCAAAACUAUCAGUUUUCAUAUAAAAUGAAGUUUUUGUUGUUGAAUUUAUGUUGUUGAAAUAGAUUUAUUGAUUAAUUUUUAAAAUUAAAAAUCCACCGCACAGUAUCUCCGCUCAGACUCGGUUAAAGUUUAAUCCAUUGUACUAAACUAAGAAACAACAAUUAUUUCAAGAGGGUGAACGUGAGCAAAAAAUCCUUGGGCGUCAUAUCAUUUCCUUGGAAAGGCUCAAAAUCAAAAGGCACGGAUCCGCCACAUAAUUGUGACUAGUUGUAGUUUCCCGGUGACCAUCAACAAGACCGCUGCACUGAGCUGUGGAGCAGAAAGUGUCCGACAAUCGGAUAGAUGUAAUAACAACUUUGUCUGUCAUAUAUUCAUGUAAUUUUUAGUUUUUUGGGCUGAUAUAUGUGAUAUGAUUACAAGUUACACUAAUUGCAAUUGUGGAGUAAAAUCAGAUGUGCCAAAGAUCAUGUUUUAGAUAUAUAAAAAUCUAUAUUAAAUGCAAUAAAUAGUAUAUGUAUAUAUAUAAAA